rnacentral:rRNA from 1 species
CGCCAGACUCCUACGGGAGGCAGCAGUGAGGAAUAUUGGUCAAUGGCCGAGAGGCUGAACCAGCCAAGUCGCGUGAGGGAAGACGGCCCUACGGGUUGUAAACCUCUUUUGCCGGGGAGCAACGGGGUCCUUGCGAGGGCCCGAUGAGAGUACCCGGAGAAAAAGCAUCGGCUAACUCCGUGCCAGCAGCCGCGGUAAUACGGAGGAUGCGAGCGUUAUCCGGAUUUAUUGGGUUUAAAGGGUGCGUAGGCGGAAUGCCAAGUCAGCGGUAAAAUCGCGGGGCUCAACCUCGCUCCGCCGUUGAAACUGGCGUUCUUGAGUGGGCGAGAAGUAUGCGGAAUGCGUGGUGUAGCGGUGAAAUGCAUAGAUAUCACGCAGAACUCCGAUUGCGAAGGCAGCAUACCGGCGCCCAACUGACGCUGAAGCACGAAAGCGUGGGUAUCGAACAGGAUUAGAUACCCCUGUAGAC